CCCCCCACUCUGCCAGAUCACCUGAAACAGCUGUGUGGCUGUUGAGCCUGUAGGUUAGCAGUUCCCUCCAGAGCUGUUGGACAGCACACUGCUCAACUAAACUAUGUCAGAAUCCUGUUCUCCUGUUGGGCGGCUCUGUUCUCCAUUGAGGCUGGUGUUACCAAUGGAGAACUGCAAGUGACUAAUGCAUCAGAUCACACAGAAGGUCGGUACGGGAUCCCUCGAGCCUCAGCAAGUCCUACUGUCCUGUAGAGAGGGAAAGUCCAGCAGUGUUCUCUGAGCCAGAAAGGAAACCUAGAAGAUGAUUAAAGUUUUUUCCAGCUGUGUGUAUCGAGGAGGAGCCUAGUGUCUACAUGGAGAACCCGGUGAAGGUUUUCCGCCACGGGAAGAAGCUGGCGCUUCACCGAGGGACAGAUCCUGUCCUUCCUGGGCCCCAACGGAGGCAGCACCAUGUGAGUGAUGGAGCACAGCGACGGGUCCAGAGACACGUCUAGUGUGCUCUUUAGACUGU